ACGGGACUUGCCUGCAAACCCAGUGUUUCCCACAAUCACUGGAAAGCAGGCUAAGCUCCACUUUCCAGUGAGCGUGUGAAUAGCUUCAUCGUGUUCUUUCUCUCGGGGAACUGAAGAUGCUGAUGUAGGUUGCCUUGCUGAAAUGAAAAGAUGAGAGAACAGAUAGACAUUCAGUGAGAGAAGAGAUAAACUUCUUGAAAUUAAGAUCAAUCAAUCAAGAGACUCCCAGGCAAGCUUCUUGGUGCAAAGGAUUCCUUAAGAUCUAUUAACAUAGCAUGACUGAGGGGGAAAGAUGAUUGUAAGUCUUAUGACACAGCUUCAGUUGGAACAACUUUUAAUUCAGUUUUGCUUGUUUUAACUCUGAGUUUUGACAGGUGCAUUGCAUUAAGGAGGAAAAGGAUGCCAUGUGUGUAUGUGAAGGGAAUGCAAAAUUAGAGUAAUUUCUUAUAAAUCUUACCUGAGACUUUUCAA